rnacentral:rRNA from 1 species
UACGGAGGGUGCAAGCGUUAUCCGGAUUUACUGGGGUUAAAGGGUGCGUAGGUGGGUCUGUAAGUCAGUGGUGAAAUCUCCGAGCUUAACUCGGAAACUGCCAUUGAUACUAUAGGUCUUGAAUUAUCUGGAGGUAAGCGGAAUAUGUCAUGUAGCGGUGAAAUGCUUAGAUAUGACAUAGAACACCAAUUGCGAAGGCAGCUUACUACGGAUUGAUUGACACUGAGGCACGAAAGCGUGGGGAGCAAACAGG